AUGAACAAGACUAACAAAUUAUCAAAAAAACACAGAUUUAUUGAUACUUAGAAAGACCGGUUUCGGUUAUUACACCAUUGUCGAUCUCUGAUAAACCCUGUUUAUCUCUGAUCUCUGUUUAUCAGAGAUUGACAAUGGUGUAAUAACCAAAACCGGUCUUUCUAAGUAUCAAUAAACCUGUGGUUUUUUGACAAUUUCUUAGUCUUUUUCAUUCAAUAAUUAUUAUCAUUUUGGCUAUUACCAUUUGCAGCAUUUAAUUUGGAUAUUCGUAAUAAUUAUGACAAUUAAUUGAACCUUAAUAAAAUACAAAGCUUUGUACUCUCAAUACAAAAGUUAGUAUUGAACGUUUGUUCAUUACACUAAAAUUAGCAAAAACCCCAGUCAAUAUUUUAGAGACUGUAGACCAGCUUUGAACAUUGAUACUUUCCAAGAAAACUGUUCUUAUGAAAUAGGGAUCUAUAAAAUAGAAUUAUAGUACCAUUUGAAAUAAAUAAAAUAAUAGAUUAAGAAUAAAAUCAACUAGUUUCAGUGUUUACACCAUCGUUAGGUUAUAAAAAUAAAUUUCAAAUAAUCGUUUAACGUUUAUAAUUGUUUCAACUAACGUUUAGAAAACGUUUAUUUGAAAUUUAUUUUUAUAUCCUGAAUAUGGUGUGAAUUACACUGAAACCAGUUGUUAUAAUUUUUAUUCUCAAUCUUAUUAUUUUAUUAAUUUCUAAGGGUACUAUAAUUCUAUUUCAUAAAUAAAAGAAAGUCGCCAUGAAUUCAUACAUUUUAAGAAAUAAUUUUGUCUUUUCUUAAAGAAAGAAAGACAAUUAUUUUCAAGUACGUUAUUUAUGCGUGCUCUAAAGUAGCCUACAUCAUAACAACAUUUUUCAUUAAUUACCAUACAAAUAUUGAUUAAUUAAUUAGAAACACUAAAAACUUG